rnacentral:rRNA from 1 species
AACGAACGCUGGCGGCGCGCCUAACACAUGCAAGUCGAACGAGAAGGCGUAGCAAUACGCUUGUAGAGUGGCGAACGGGUGAGUAAUACGUGGGUGACCUACCCUCGAGUGGGGAAUAACCCGCCGAAGGCGGGCUAAUGCCGCGUACGCUUCCGUCCUCACGGGGACGGAAGGAAAGCUGUACCGUGGGUACGGCGCUCAAGGAUGGGCUCACGUCCUAUCAGCUUGUUGGUAGGGUAACGGCCACCAAGGCUACGACGGGUAGCUGGUCUGAGAGGACGAUCAGCCACACUGGCACUGCGACACGGGCCGAGACUCCUACGGGAGGGCAGCAGUGAGGAAUAUUGCGCAAUGGGCGAAAGCCUGACGCAGCGACGCCGCGUGGGGGA